rnacentral:rRNA from 1 species
CCCUUAAGUUUGAUCCUGGCUCAGAUGAACGCUAGCUACAGGCUUAACACAUGCAAGUCGAGGGGAAACGAUAGAGAAAGCUUGCUUUUUCUAGGCGUCGACCGGCGCACGGGUGAGUAACGCGUAUCCAACCUGCCCACCACUUGGGGAUAACCUUGCGAAAGUAAGACUAAUACCCAAUGAUAUCUCAAGAAGACAUCUGAAUGAGAUUAAAGAUUUAUCGGUGAUGGAUGGGGAUGCGUCUGAUUAGCUUGUUGGCGGGGUAACGGCCCACCAAGGCGACGAUCAGUAGGGGUUCUGAGAGGAAGGUCCCCCACAUUGGAACUGAGACACGGUCCAAACUCCUACGGGAGGCAGCAGUGAGGAAUAUUGGUCAAUGGGCGAGAGCCUGAACCAGCCAAGUAGCGUGCAGGAUGACGGCCCUAUGGGUUGUAAACUGCUUUUAUAAGGGAAUAAAGUGAGUCUCGUGAGGCUUUUUGCAUGUACCUUAUGAAUAAGGACCGGCUAAUUCCGUGCCAGCAGCCGCGGUAAUACGGAAGGUCCGGGCGUUAUCCGGAUUUAUUGGGUUUAAAGGGAGCGUAGGCCGGAGAUUAAGCGUGUUGUGAAAUGUAGACGCUCAACGUCUGCACUGCAGCGCGAACUGGUUUCCUUGAGUACGCACAAAGUGGGCGGAAUUCGUGGUGUAGCGGUGAAAUGCUUAGAUAUCACGAAGAACUCCGAUUGCGAAGGCAGCUCACUGGAGCGCAACUGACGCUGAAGCUCGAAAGUGCGGGUAUCGAACAGGAUUAGAUACCCUGGUAGUCCGCACGGUAAACGAUGGAUGCCCGCUGUUGGUCUGAAUAGGUCAGCGGCCAAGCGAAAGCAUUAAGCAUCCCACCUGGGGAGUACGCCGGCAACGGUGAAACUCAAAGGAAUUGACGG